ensembl:lncRNA YWHAEP7 tyrosine 3-monooxygenase/tryptophan 5-monooxygenase activation protein epsilon pseudogene 7
AGACCUACUUGACUGCGGUCAUCCUAGCUGACCAUAAAACAGGAAGUAAACAGAGAUGGGAACUUUGUCCCCAUAAGGAUGGAGCUUUAAAAAGAACAGAUAAUGGGGGCUGGGCCCAUGAGGUGUGUGCUCUGUAUAUUCCGGAGGUACAAUUUGCCAAUGAUUCCACAAUGGAACCAAUUGUUUUACAGUCUGUUCCACAUGAUCAUUGUAAUAAGGUUGAGACUGAGCUAAAGUUAAUCUGCGGCGAUGUUCUGGAUGCACUGGACAAACACCUCAUUCCAGCAGCUACCACUGGCAAGUCCAAGGUUUUCUAUUAUGAAAUGAAAGGGGUCUACCACAGGUAUCUGGCAGAAUUUGCCACAGGAAAUGACAGGAAGGAGGUGGCAGAGAACAGCUUGGUGGCUUACAAAGCUGCUAGUGAUAUUGCAACGGGUUUCUCCAUGUUGGCCAGGCUGGGCUCGAACUCCUGGUUUCAAGUGAACCUCCCAACUUGGCUUCCCAAAGUGCUGAGAUUACAGGCGUGAGCCACCAUCCCCGCCCCCUCAAAAUCUGUUAGGACGACAGUCUCGCCAAGGCAAUGCAGUCGCAAUAUGCCGUUUCCAUUGCAAUCACAAUAUGACAUUUCCAUUUACUUUGGAUUAUACGUCAUUAUGAAUAUUAACAAGACUUAAAAAGGACACCUUCGGAUUUCCUGUCUUUGUGGGCUGAUGGACUAGAGGAAAGAUGCCUGUUGACGGUCAAAGGCAGAGCCUCUUCGGCAGCUUCUUAAAGCGCCUUCUUUAACAGAGAAACAAUCUGCAUGGGGUCUAGAACGGUUCUGAAAUCCUGCUGAAGGUUUCGAAACUUCCUGGGGGGGGUCUCCUGCCAGAGCGCCUACGCUGCCUCUGGGCUGGCUGGCCAGUGAGCCCCGUCUCACAGCCUGACAGUCCCCACAUCAGCCCGGACCGUCUUUCGGGACCAGCCCCAUUUGCACAGCCUGAGCUGUAGAGGGCCCUGGAGUUCGGAGUUCUUGUCCCAACUGUGCCCCUGCAGGCCUGUUCCACCCACUGAGGCUCAGUUUCCCCAUGUGCCUAAUGAGGAAGUCAUGCUAGGUGGGGCUUACAGCCUCUUGCAGCUUUGCCAUUGAUCACUUCCGUGUCUUCAGAGAGGCUGCCAAGUCUCCUCUGAAUGAAGUUCCCCAAAAAGCAAACGUAAGAAAAUACACAGAGCUUACCCAGACACCAGGCCCUUUAGAAAUAGACCAUUUCUUACCUUAGGCCCCCAGAAGGUCCUCAUUCUAGCUUUGUGGAGAAAAGAAGAGUCUUUGCCUCAGCCCCCAGAGGUUGGGGUGGGGUGGCUGAAUUUUGAGGCUGGGAUUGGCAACUCUGGUGAAGCCCAAAGUGACACGGAUGGUUUCAAAGCCACCUAGAGGAUAAGGUGUCAGGACAGUGACAAGACCCCAGGUCCCUAUCACACACCAGAGCUCACUGAGCCUCCACCUGGGGUCUCUGCUGAAUCUCUGACAGGCUAGGAGAGAAGGGACUGGGGUUACUGACCCCCAGAAAGUCAGAGAAAGUGGCAGUUGGAGGACCUGGGUUUGAGUCCUGGAUCACCCCUUCCCCGCCUUGGCAAACUACUCAGACUCUGGAAACCUGUUUCACCUGUAAGAUGGGGAUGACAAUCAAACCCACCUUGCAGGGCCGUGAAGAUGCUUAAGACAAGUGCAUGCAAAAACUUUCACACACACAAAGCCUUCCUAAAGAUGGGGAGACAAGGCCUCAUGAGCAGCAGGUGGCCAGGCACUAUGUGGGGGCUGGAGUCCUGUUUUCCCUUCAACCUGGGAAAGGACUGAUGGGCACUUAGUAGGUUUUGAAUCAUGACCCUGGACCUCAGGUGGCGGUAUGCUUUGUGUCUGCAGCAGAAGGCCCCAGCCUCGUGCCUGUGAGUCCCACUACCGAUGUUGAAGGGGUGGACAGCAGGCGGGUGAGCCCCAGGCUGGCAGCUAGCAAGACCUCUCACGUGUGAGCCCAGCACCCCACUUCCCCUGAAAUGUGAUGUCCAGUGCUCCAGGCUGGGGGCCGUGGAUCCUGAUUCCAGCUGUGUGAGGGCUGGAAGGCCCUGGGCAGGUCACCUGACCUCUCUGGGCCUAUUUCCAUCACACACUUGAGGGGCUGAGCACACUGGACUCUAUAGCUGUACAACUCCUUGGCUCUGCUUUUGUUCCUGAGGGCCCCUUAGUAGGCAGGGAAAGUGAGGGCCUCAGGGCUGGGCCCCAAGACUCAGAUGCUCUCAACCCCUUCCUGGAGUGCCUAACUCAGGGGAGCAGACAGGCCCAGCAGGCAGGGUGCCUCUCUUGCUCAACUCCUGGAGCUAUAUGUUUUUUUAGCUUACUAUUUUACUUAAGAAUAGAUCAUGAGCAUUGACUAUUCUAAAACAUGACUUUCAUGACUAUAUAAAAGUCCAUUGUAUCAAU